AACGAACGCUGGCGGCAUGCCUAACACAUGCAAGUCGAACGAGACCUUCGGGUCUAGUGGCGCACGGGUGCGUAACGCAUGGGAACCUGCCCUUAGGUUCGGAAUAACUCCCCGAAAGGGGUGCUAAUACCGGAUAAUGUCUUCGGACCAAAGAUUUAUCGCCUUGGGAUGGGCCCGCGUUGGAUUAGCUAGUUGGUAGGGUAAAAGCCUACCAAGGCGACGAUCCAUAGCUGGUCUGAGAGGAUGAUCAGCCACACUGGGACUGGGACACGUCCCAGACUCCUACGGGAGGCAGCAGUUGUGAAUAUUGGACGAUGGGCGAGUGCCUGAUCCAGCAAUGCCGCGUGAGUGAUGAAGGCCUUAAGGUUGUAAAGCUCUGUUACCCGGGAUGAUAAUGACAGUACCGGGAGAAUAAGCUCCGGCUAACUCCGUG
rnacentral:rRNA from 1 species